GCUGGUUUCCGGGUCCGAGGUGAACACAUCAUGCCUGGCUGGUUUCCGGGUCUGAGGUGAACACAUCAUGCCUGGCUGGUUUCCGGGUCUGAGGUGAACACAUCAUGCUUGGCUGGUUUCCGGGUCUGAGGUGAAUACAUCAUGCUUGGCUGGUUUCCGGGUCCAAGGUGAACGCAUCACGCCUGGCUGGUUUCCGGGUCUGAGGUGAAUACAUCAUGCUUGGCUGGUUGGA